rnacentral:rRNA from 1 species
GACGGACCGUGCAAACGUUGUUCGGAAUCACUGGGCUUAAAGGGCGCGUAGGCGGGCUUCAAAGUCGGUGGUGAAAUCUUUCGGCUCAACCGGAAAACAGCCGCCGAUACUGGGGGUCUCGAGGGAGGUAGGGGUCGAUGGAACUUCAGGUGGAGCGGUGAAGUGCGUAGAUAUCUGAAGGAACGCCGGUGGCGAAAGCGAUCGACUGGACCUCUUCUGACGCUGAGGCGCGAAAGCCAGGGGAGCAAACGGG